UACGUAGGGUGCGAGCGUUAAUCGGAAUUACUGGGCGUAAAGCGUGCGCAGGCGGUCUGUUAAGACCGAUGUGAAAUCCCCGGGCUUAACCUGGGAACUGCAUUGGUGACUGGCAGGCUUUGAGUGUGGCAGAGGGAGGUAGAAUUCCACGUGUAGCAGUGAAAUGCGUAGAGAUGUGGAGGAAUACCGAUGGCGAAGGCAGCCUCCUGGGCCAACACUGACGCUCAUGCACGAAAGCGUGGGGAGAAACAGG
rnacentral:rRNA from 1 species